rnacentral:rRNA from 1 species
UACGGAGGGUGCAAGCGUUAAUCGGAAUUACUGGGCGUAAAGCGCACGUAGGCGGAUUGUUAAGUCAGAUGUGAAAUCCCCGGGCUCAACCUGGGAACUGCAUUUGAUACUGGCUAGCUAGAGUCUCGUAGAGGGGGGUAGAAUUCCAGGUGUAGCGGUGAAAUGCGUAGAGAUCUGGAAGAAUACCAGUGGCGAAGGCGGCCCACUGGACGAAGACUGACGCUGAGGUGCGAAAGCGUGGGGAGCAAACAGG